AGAGCGAACGCUGGCGGCAGGCCUAACACAUGCAAGUCGAGCGCGUGUAGCAAUACACGAGCGGCAGACGGGAGAGUAACACGUGGGAACGCGCCCUUCGGUUCGGAAUAACUCAGGGAAACUUGAGCUAAUACCGGAUACGCCCUUACGGGGAAAGAUUUAUUGCCGAAGGAACGGCCCGCGUCCGAUUAGCUAGUUGGUGAGGUAACGGCUCACCAAGGCGACGACGGGUAGCC
rnacentral:rRNA from 1 species